GGAUGGGUGUCCGAGUGGUUUAAGGAAUCGGUCUUGAAAACCGAAGAAGGUAUAUAAAAACCUUCCGUGGGUUCGAAUCCCACCCCAUCCGCCA
rnacentral:tRNA from 1 species